AGCAGCUUUGUCAAAUUCAGUGCCCCCUCUGCUAUGGGGGCCACUGGCCAAAAUGGCUGCCACAGUAACUGUAGUUCAUGGGCCCCACUACCUUUUACCUUGGUUCCUGGGGAUAAUUAUGUGCUGCAGACAGAA
ensembl:snoRNA